GAUGAACGCUAGCGGCAGGCUUAACACAUGCAAGUCGAGGGGGCAGCACGGGUAGCAAUAUCUGGUGGCGACCGGCAAACGGGUGCGGAACACGUACGCAAUCUACCUUUAUCUGGGGCAUAGCCCGAAGAAAUUCGGAUUAACUCCCCAUAAUAUGAUAGUGUGGCAUCACACUUUUAUUAAAACUACCGGUGGAUAGAGAUGAGCGUGCGUCCCACUUAGCUAGNGGUAGGGUAACGGCCUACCAAGGCGACGAUGGGUAGCUGGUGUGAGAGCACGACCAGCCACACGGGC
rnacentral:rRNA from 1 species